rnacentral:rRNA from 1 species
UACGGGGGGGGCAAGCGUUGUUCGGAAUUACUGGGCGUAAAGGGCUCGUAGGCGGCCAACUAAGUCAGACGUGAAAUCCCCAGGCUUAACCUGGGAACUGCGUCUGAUACUGGAUGGCUUGAAUUCGGGAGAGGGAUGCAGAAUUCCAGGUGUAGCGGUGAAAUGCGUAGAUAUCGGGAGGAACAUCAGUGGCGAAGGCGGCCUUCUGGUCCAGUACUGACACUCAAGUGCGAAAGCGUGGGGAGCAAACAGG